rnacentral:rRNA from 1 species
GACGAACGCUGGCGGCGUGCCUAAUACAUGCAAGUCGAACGAGAGCGACCGGUGCUUGCACUGGUCAAUCUAGUGGCGAACGGGUGAGUAACACGUGGGUAACCUGCCCAUCAGAGGGGGAUAACAUCCGGAAACGGAUGCUAAAACCGCAUAGGUCUUCGAACCGCAUGGUUUGAAGAGGAAAAGAGGCGCAAGCUUCUGCUGAUGGAUGGACCCGCGGUGCAUUAGCUAGUUGGUGAGGUAACGGCUCACCAAGGCCGUGAUGCAUAGCCGACCUGAGAGGGUGAUCGGCCACAUUGGGACUGAGACACGGCCCAAACUCCUACGGGAGGCAGCAGUAGGGAAUCUUCCGCAAAGGACGCAAGUCUGACGGAGCAACGCCGCGUGAGUGAUGAAGGUUUUCGGAUCGUAAAACUCUGCUGUUAGAGAAGAACAAGUGCUAGAGUAACUGUUAGCGCCUUGACGGUAUCUAACCAGAAAGCCACGGCUAACUACGUG